CCUCAACGACCAUUAAAAAAAAAAAAAAAGGCUUUGCUCUCCCGGGCGUAAUCUUAGUGUUGGGGCUUAGGGUUUCACCUGACCGUCUUUCUCUCACCAUUGUUGUCGAUCUCUCUUCGUCGUUUACCGUCUUUCUUGCGGUUCGAUUUAGGGAAGGCCUGGGCGAUGGGGGAGGACGGGUCGCAUUAAAGCUCUUGGCGUGAGGGAAGAACCAGUGGAAGCCUGCAAGAGCUUGGGGUGGAAGUUCCCUACGGAGAUCCAAGUCGAGGCGAUUCCCUAUUCCCCUGAAGUUAGCUGGUUCACUGUGGCUUUCUUUUCUCUAACUCAAGCCCUUUAUUGGUUUUGGCUUUGUUGAAAUCUGUUCCGCUGCACAGAAAAUUGCGAGUCUUGAUAGUUUCUUUGUUCAAGGAACUUUUUUCACCUGAUUUCUCUCUUCGUUAUGAUCUGCAGGACCUUCAAAUGUCUCAAUUUUGUUUGUCAGAUGACUGAAUGGGAUAUUCAUACGGAUAACUGAAAGGACUUUAUGCUGGUUGGUAGGGAAAGAUUUUUUCCGACCGGCACAAACAGGUUUAGGGAAGAUAUAGGAUCUUUUGAGCCUAAGAAUCUUCCAAUUGAUCUUUAUCUACAAGUCCUUUGCAAUUUAAGUUUCUUGAUUGAGUUUGCUAGAGCUGAUCUAUUAUCUACAUAAAUGUUGAUUUUUAAACUAUUUAAAGAAAAUCGUAGGUAUGUUUAUUUGCAACAAAUCAAUAACUUUUUAGUAGCCCUUAAUGUCCCUCGCCUUUAAACCCAAGGAUUAAAAUUUCGUACUGUACCAGAAUUUUGAGCUUCGCUCGGUACAGUACAGUACUGCGUACCGAGCAGUACGCCAGGACGUACUGAGCGGUACACCUAAUUUAGGCGUAAAAUCUUCCGAAAAUACCUAAAAAUAAAAAAAAGUUAUGAUAAGGUUUUUAAGUUAGAAAUAAAUAUAGUAAUAGUAUAAGUUUAGCAAAACAAAUGUAAAUUAGGUAAGAAUAGUAUCACAUAUCUUUUUCGGACUUUGAGUAAUAGCCUUGUGCAAGGUUCGUAUUUCGGUCCGUUACGAAUUGCUCUUAUGUAAAUAUUGAAAUAUCUACAGAAAAAUCAUUUGAAUUGUCAAUUAAUAAAUCGUUGUUUUGUAGGGUUUAAGAGAGUGUAAAUAUGAAAAAAAAUGAGUUUGAGGUAGUUUAAGAGAGUGUGAGAGUGAAAUAGAGUGUAAUAGGAGACCAUUGGAGCAUUGUUACAGAUCGGUAACGAUCAAAAUCGACUGUUACUGUCCAAUAUACCCCCAUAUCAUCCGAUACGGGGUGAUAUUAAGCGUUCCGCUCGGCACAUUGUUUCGAGUAACAUCAUAUCAUCAUAAUAUGGCCUUUAUGAUGAUUUUGGAGGAACUUAUUGGACUAGCAAUUUUGGUCUUAUUUAUCUUGUGCUUAUGUGAACUAACUUGGUCUCAAGUAAAUUCCUUAGCCUGUAAGCCAAUAGUUCAUGCCAUGCUGAUGCCCUCUCUAAGAGUUGCCCUUAAGAUAUAUAUUCUGCCCAAAUUUGGAUGAUUUUAUAAGGCGCUUGGUUAAUUUCUCAUAUUAAACCACAAACAAAGUUGAGUUACUCAUUUAGAGGAGAAUUUAGAUUAUAAAGAUUUAGUAUAUUUGAGCCUCUUAUGCUAUUAAUGUUAAAAGUCUAUAUUUUGGAUGAUAUGCUACAAUCGGGUAGGUGCUUUUGUUGAGAUCUUUGUCCAGGUUAUAUGCAUCUGCUAUAUCUGCAAACAAUAUGCAGCUUGGACAUUAUCUUUUUAGUAAUGUUCGUUACCUAUAUGGCAUAAAAACUAUUUUCAAAAUGUAAUUUUAAGUUAAAGAUUAUUAGGAGCAAAGAUUUUGCCUUGAAAUAUUUAUUGGUCUCAUGUUUGUUUAUUGGGCCAUUGUUUGGUACUUCUCAUAAUUUAAUUGGCGAAGAAUAUUUUUGUGCUUUAAAUAAUUCUUUUUUUUCUAAGCAACUAUUUUAGAGAAAAAUUCUCAGCCUUGGACUAAUCUGGUGGUUUUUUCACUCAAAUAGUAUCAUAAUUUGAACUGAGUGAUGUAACGCAGGAUUAUGUUCAUUGACCGGGCAGAAUUGCAUGUAUUGACAAUCUGGGCUAGUGAAUCAGCACCAGGUGGAUGUUAUGUACAGAGAGUAUUUCAUCGGAAGAAAACUACCAGGGCACUGUAGUCAGUGAAUGAAACUGAAGUGGGACAUGGAUUGGAUGCCAAGAUGAUUGCUCUGAUGAAAAUCAAGGAAAGUAAUAGCAGCAAAAAAGAGGAAAAAUGUAGAAGACGAAGAAGUUGAGUAUGGUGUGAUCCGUAAGAGGGUAAAAGGACCAAGAGAUUGAAAUGGCAAUAACAUGCAGAAGCUGAGGAGCAUGAUACAAAGAAAAAGAUGAGCUGAUCAAAAAGCUUGACCAUUUUUUUUUUGUGUGUGUGUUAAUUUUCUUUUCAAAGCUGGUCUUAUGAUUCUGAUGACCAUAUCUACUGAAGUUUUUAAUGUUUAAUCUCUCCAAAGAGAACCUUGUAUACGUUUAACUGUAUAUGGAGCAGUGAUUAUUUUGGGAUCGACUAUUACAUGGAAAGAUGCAAAUUUGGA